AUCGCUUCUCGGCCUUUUGGCUAAGAUCAUGUGUAGAAAUAUUUUGUUCUCAUUUUAAAUGAUGGGUUUAUGAGAGCAGCAACAAAAAUAAAAAAUAUCUUGAUAAGUUAUUGAUGGAGCUUAA
ensembl:snRNA U2 U2 spliceosomal RNA